UACGGAGGGUGCAAGCGUUAAUCGGAAUUACUGGGCGUAAAGCGUGCGCAGGCGGCUUUGCAAGACAGAUGUGAAAUCCCCGGGCUCAACCUGGGAACUGCAUUUGUGACUGCAUGGCUUGAGUGCGGCAGAGGGGGAUGGAAUUCCGCGUGUAGCAGUGAAAUGCGUAGAUAUGCGGAGGAACACCGAUGGCGAAGGCAAUCCCCUGGGCCUGCACUGACGCUCAUGCACGAAAGCGUGGGGAGCAAACAGG
rnacentral:rRNA from 1 species